UAAAGUCGAUUGCUCUACCCAC
rnacentral:miRNA from 1 species